rnacentral:rRNA from 1 species
AUACGGAGGGGGCUAGCGUUGUUCGGAAUUACUGGGCGUAAAGCGCGUGUAGGCGGAUCGUUAAGUCAGGGGUGAAAGCCCGGGGCUCAACCCCGGAACUGCCCUUGAUACUGGCGAUCUAGAGUCCGGAAGAGGUGGGCGGAAUUCCCGGUGUAGAGGUGAAAUGCGUAGAUAUCGGGAGGAACACCAGUGGCGAAGGCGGCUCACUGGUCCGGUACUGACGCUGAGACGCGAAAGCGUGGGGAGCAAACAGGAUUAGAAACCCUAGUAGUCC